GAUCAUGGCUCAGGAUGAACGCUGGCGGCGUGCUUAACACAUGCAAGUCGAACGGGAAAUAUUUUAUUGAAACUUCGGUAGAUUUAAUUUAUUUCUAGUGGCGGACGGGUGAGUAACGCGUGGGUAACCUGCCUUAUACUGGGGGAUAACAGCCAGAAAUGGCUGCUAAUACCGCAUAAGCGCACAGGGCCGCAUGGUCCAGUGUGAAAAACUCCGGUGGUAUAAGAUGGACCCGCGUUGGAUUAGCUAGUUGG
rnacentral:rRNA from 1 species